AUGGGGUGGCGGCGGAGCUCUACAGUGCGCCUCCCCGUCGACCCGCCAUAUGAUGCACGGGCGCACGGGUCCUCUGUGGUCUCCAUCUCCCAUCGGUCCGGUGGUGGACGUCGGUGGCCACUCCCUCCCCGUGUGUGGCCGGCGUGGCUGUUGCUUGCUCCGGCGGCCGAGCGCAGGGGAGGUCCGGCGGCGGGUCGGCUGGCGAUAGCGGCGUGGCCUCUACCCCUCCCUCCACUUCCUCCCCGUGUGUGGCCGGUGAUGUCUGUUGGGACGACGGGGCAACGGAGCACGGGCCACCUGCAGCGGCUCGCGCCGCCCACGGUGGACGAACGACCCCGACCACCGGAUCCAGAGGAGAGGGAGGGGUGGAGGCCACAGCGACGGGCUGGCUGGCGACGACAGCGACCCGAUGCAGCAGGAUCCGGAGGGGGGGAGGGGUGGAGGCCACGACGGCAGGAUGGCUGGCGAAGGCGGCGGAUCUGGAGGGUAGGGAGGAGCGGCGGCCCGGGGAAGGAAGGGUGGCUUCCGGCGAAGGUGGCGGUGGCUCGGCUUCUGGCGGCGUGGUCUGCCACAGCAUGGUUUGACCACGGGUGUUUUUUCUUUUUUGAAGAAGCGAGGGAGUUUUUUGUAAAAAAGUAUCUCUAA
rnacentral:rRNA from 1 species